GACGAACGCUGGCGGCGUGCCUAAUACAUGCGAGUCGAACGCUGAAGGAGGAGCUUGCUCUUCUGGAUGAGUUGCGAACGGGUGAGUAACGCGUAGGUAACCUGCCUGGUAGCGGGGGAUAACUAUUGGAAACGAUAGCUAAUACCGCAUAACAGUAGAUGUUGCAUGACAUUUGCUUAAAAGGUGCUAUUGCAUCCCUACCAGAUGGACCUGCGUUGUAUUAGCUAGUUGGUGGGGUAACGGCUCACCAAGGCGACGAUACAUAGCCGACCUGAGAGGGUGAUCGGCCACACUGGGACUGAAACACGGCCCAGACUCCUACGGGAGGCAGCAGGAGGGAAUCUUCGGCAAGGGACGGAAGGCUGACCGAGCAACGCCGCGUGAGGGAAGAAGGGUUUCGGAUCGGAAAGAUCGGUUGUAAGAGAAGAACGAGUGUGAGAGUGGAAAGUUCACACUGUGACGGUAUCUUACCAGAAAGGGACGGCUAACUACGUG
rnacentral:rRNA from 1 species